AUGAACGCUAGCGGCAGGCUUAACACAUGCAAGUCGAGGGGUAUGCCGAUUUAUCGGCAGAGACCGGCGCACGGGUGCGUAACGCGUAUGCAAUCUACCUUUCACAGAGGGAUAGCCCAGAGAAAUUUGGAUUAAUACCUCAUAGUAUAGCAGUUUCGCAUGAAACCACUAUUAAAGUCACAACGGCAAAAGAUGAGCAUGCGUCCCAUUAGCUAGUUGGUAAGGUAACGGCUUACCAAGGCUACGAUGGGUAGGGGUCCUGAGAGGGAGAUCCCCCACACUGGUACUGAGACACGGACCAGACUCCUACGGGAGGCAGCAGUGAGGAAUAUUGGACAAUGGGCGCAAGCCUGAUCCAGCCAUGCCGCGUGCAGGAUGACGGUCCUAUGGAUUGUAAACUGCUUUUGUACAGGAAGAAACACUCCCUCGUGAGGGAGCUUGACGGUACUGUAAGAAUAAGGAUCGGCUAACUCCGUG
rnacentral:rRNA from 1 species